UUGGUGGGGUAAGGGCCUACCAAGGCUACGAUCCAUAGCUGAUUUGAGARAAUGAUCAGCCACAUUGGGACUGAGACACGGCCCAAACUCCUACGGGAGGCAGCAGUGAGGAAUAUUGGACAAUGGGGGYAACCCUGAUCCAGCAAUGCCAUGUGUGUGAAGAAGGCCUUAGGGUUGUAAAGCACUUUAGUUGGGGAAGAAAGCUUUGAGGUUAAUAGCCUUGAAGAAAAGGACGUUACCCAAAGAAUAAGCACCGGCUAACUCCGUGCCAGCAGCCGCGGUAAUACGGGGGGUGCAAGCGUUAAUCGGAAUUACUGGGCGUAAAGGGUCUGUAGGUGGUUUGUUAAGUCAGAUGUGAAAGCCUAGGGCUCAACCUUAGAACUGCAUUUGAUACUGGUAAACUAGAGUACGGUAGAGGAAUARGGAAUUUCUGGUGUAGCGGUGAAAUGCGUAGAGAUCAGAAGGAACACCAAUGGCGAAGGCAACAUUCUGGACCGAUACUGACACUGAGGGACGAAAGCGUGGGGAUCAAACAGGAUUAGAUACCCUGGUAGUCCACGCUGUAAACGAUGAGUACUAGCUGUUGGAGUCGGUGUAAAGGCUCUAGUGGCGCAGCUAACGCGAUAAGUACUCCGCCUGGGGACUACGGCCGCAAGGCUAAAACUCAAAGGAAUUGACGGGGACCCGCACAAGCGGUGGAGCAUGUGGUUUAAUUCGAUGCAACGCGAAGAACCUUACCUGGUYUUGACAUCCUGCGAUCUUUCUAGAGAUAGAUUGGUGCCUUCGGGAACGCAGUGACAGGUGCUGCACGGCUGUCGUCAGCUCGUGUUGUGAAAUGUUGGGUUAAGUCCCGCAACGAGCGCAACCCCUAUURAUAGUUACCAUCAUUAAGUUGGGUACUCUAUUAAGACUGCCGCUGACAAGGCGGAGGAAGGUGGGGACGACGUCAAGUCAUCAU
rnacentral:rRNA from 1 species